UUGGCGUGUAUGGGCAUGUUGGAUCCCUGCUCGGGCAGCGACGACAUCUUGUACAUGCCUUUUCAAUUGUUGGCUCAAGUGUGUGUUUACCUUGACCGAUGUUGGUUUCCUGUGUUGCAUACCUAUCAUGAAGGUAUUUGAUCGGCUAAAAUAUCCCGUUUUCGUCUUAUGCUGUGCCUUUAUGAGGCUGCGGCAUGGGAUGGACUAUGAAGAUUCGCUGUGUUCCACAUCCCGUGCACUCAUAAAUGUGCUUGGGUUGUUGGCCCAUGGUGCCAUGCUUGAUCUUUCGGAUGCGGAAAAUCGAGUGGGUAUGAGGCAUUUGUUCUCUAUUUGCCCCAAAAAUAGGCGUUUCACGCAUUAUGCGAACGACAAUCGUUCCCGUUUUGAUUGAGUCCUUGUGGCUUAUUUCAUGCGGUGUCGAUGUCGAUGAGGAA
rnacentral:misc_RNA from 1 species